AUUGAACGCUGGCGGCAUGCCUUACACAUGCAAGUCGAACGGCAGCACGGGGCAACCUGGUGGCGAGUGGCGAACGGGUGAGUAAUGCAUCGGAACGUACCUUUCAGUGGGGGAUAACGUAGCGAAAGUUACGCUAAUACCGCAUAUUCUGUGAGCAGGAAAGCAGGGGAUCGCAAGACCUUGCGCUGAUUGAGCGGCCGAUGUCGGAUUAGCUAGUUGGUGAGGUAAGGGCUCACCAAGGCGACGAUCUGUAGCGGGUCUGAGAGGAUGAUUCGCGACACUGGAACUGAGACACGGUCCAGAGUCCUACGGGAGGAAGCAGUGGGGAAUUUUGGACAAUGGGGGCAACCCUGAUCCAGCCAUGCCGCGUGAGUGAAGAAGGCCUUCGGGUUGUAAAGCUCUUUCGGCCGGGAAGAAAUCGCACGGGCUAAUACCCUGUGUGGAUGACGGUACCGGAAUAAGAAGCACCGGCUAACUACGUGCCAGCCGCCGCCGUAAAAC
rnacentral:rRNA from 1 species